GCGGCUGUAGCUCAGCUGGAUAGAGUACCUGGCUACGAACCAGGGGGUCGUGGGUUCAAUUCCUGCCAGCCGCGCCA
rnacentral:tRNA from 1 species